UGACAGCCGCCGCGGUAAUACGGAGGGGGUUAGCGUUGUUCGGAAUCACUGGGCAUAAAGCGCGCGUAGGCGGUCCACUAAGUCAGGUGUGAAAUCCCCCGGCUCAACCGGGGAACUGCACCUGAUACUGGUGGGCUCGAGGACGGUAGGGGUGAGCGGAACUCCAGGUGGAGCGGUGAAAUGCGUAGAUAUCUGGAGGAACACCUGUGGCGAAAGCGGCUCACUGGACCGUAUCUGACGCUGAGGUGCGAAAGCUAGGGUGGCGAACGGGAUUAGAUA
rnacentral:rRNA from 1 species